AUGAAGGCAGGUGUGUGGCGACUUAUGAGCGGUGGUGACAAAGCUGA
rnacentral:snoRNA from 1 species